GUGCCACCCAGGAACUCUAUGGCUUCAAUAGCACGUAUUCUAAAACUGAAAUAAUACAGAGUAGAAUAGCAUAGCCCCUGUGCAAGGAUGACAUGCAAAUUCACGAAGUGUUUCAUAUUUUU
ensembl:snRNA U6 U6 spliceosomal RNA